rnacentral:lncRNA from 1 species
ACAGUUAUCACACCAUUAUUGUGCAAAAAAUAAGGGUGGUUUAACGCGGCACUCUGCCAGCCACUUUUGGCUUCCAUAGACAUCAACAAGCCUAUGCCUCCAACACUACCAGAGGUUGACGCUAGCUCCACGGAAUGUGCUGGCAGCUGCUGGCAGCGCGCCCAUGAAACACAGCCAGGGGUUUCCUCUGUAAAGUCAUUAUUGUCUAGGUACAUGAGCCUUUAGCAAUUGUUAACAGCUAUAAAAAUUGGAAUUAGAAAUGUUCAGGUAUUAUCAGCAUCAGCUAAACAGGGAAGAGAAUUCGGCUACAGCCCAUCUUGCAACGCCUCAAUGAAAUUUAACGAGAAACUUAAAUUGAGGGAGCAGCUACAUAACUGAGGUAAAGCCCAUAAAUCCUUGUGGAUUUACCUACAUACCUGAGGUAAAUCCACAAGGCACCUUGAGUUCAAACUAUGAAGUGACUCCAAGCGAAAUAUAGCAGAAAUUGGGACUUAAACGAGCUUAGAAAUAAUCUGCUUAGUGCUGGAUAAGUGUUUUCACUUUACCAUAUGUUGUUUUUUAUUCAAAGUUAUUGUAUUGUUCAUUAUUGUAAAAGCCAAGCAACUUUUGCAACAUUGAGGAUCAUACUUUAGCUUUGGAAACAAGACAUAGGUAUGUAGUUAUGCUGAUCUUCUUUUCCAGAGUCUUUGAUUAUCACUUAAUUUCAUUCACUUUUGAUGUAGUGAAAAUGUAGAAUGAAUUCACUGGAAUUCACUGGGAUUGUAUUGUGUAUGCAAGUCCAAAUAUUUCGGCCAAUAUUGUUUGGCCUUGGUCACUGGACAACUACAAUAACCCUAUAAGAAUAGCUCACAUUGCAGCGACAUAUUUUUGUGUCUUGUGGGGUCUCAUAUAGCAAUAACAAGAGCAGUGACAUGCAUAGUUUGCUUGUGUUGUCACAACUUUGUACAAUAUUUCCAGCUUUAUGAUAUGCAGUUAUUAGUCACAUUGGGCAUCACGCAUAUAUUUUUUCCUGCUGGAGGGAAGACACAGGAGGGAUCCAGUGACUCAUGUUUUUGCUUCUAUCGCUUCACCCCUGGGGAAUCAGUUCCUACACCCCUUGAGUAUAAUGGUCACCAAGGGGUGCUGUCCUGACACGUCCACUUUCUGUUGAGAAGAUCCCGAAAGAAGAUAACAGCUUGUUUUCUUCACCGCCACCAGUCUACCUGCUCUCUGCACACUCGGCAGAGCGCGGCAGGGCACCCCACGGAGCUGCACUAGUCACAUCCGGGCCCCACGCCGGUCGACGGCCGAUGCGCCGCUGGGAGGCCUGCGGCGCGGACGACGGAUGCGGCAGUUGGUCAAGACACGGCAGCCUACUCGAGGUGCUUCUCGCCUGGAGGACGCAGGCGAAUCGCGUUAUCCGAGCUGUGCCUCGUCAUGGUGCGAUGAGCCUUAAUAGACUAAUGCAUAUUCUUCCUUUGGCUGUAAUUCAUUUGCUGCUGCCCGCUGGGCUAAGGAGUAACUCUGGGCGCCUACUUUGGGCAGACGCUCGUCCAGUGCCGCUCUUCGUUUGCCGCACAUAUCUUUAUUUAUUCUUUGUUACAAUUCCGUCUUUGGUCAUUUUUUUUACCAUGGGGGCACUUGAAAGUUUUGUUUUUAAAUCUGUGGACAUUGAACCUGGAAUCGGUUUUAUGUCGGAUUUCGGUUUUGUUUUUGCACUGUGGAAAUAUCUCGUUCAAUAUUUUUAAAGGAAAAGGGCCACCUUUAACAUGGGGAUUGAAACUGAGAUAGCCAUCUUGUAGCCCGUGUCCGAAAACCUAUUUGUCUACCUCCUUACGGCCGAUUUCGGCCUCCAUUCGUAGUUAUCGGCAAUUUUAAAAGAAAAUACGCCAGGAAUGCGUUCUUAUCCCAGGAAUGCGUUCUUAUCCGACAAUACAGCCACCCGCGGCGAGGCUUUGGUUUUUUACCAAUCAGCUCCAACCAGCUCAGCUUUAACCAAUCAGCUUAUCUGACACAAUCCGACGAGUCUGUCUUCUGAACGCUGAUUGGUUUGAGUGUGACGUCAUCGCUAUGCCAUCAUACAGUAGGUGCCGUAGAGAGUAUCAACAUAGUACCAAUAUGUUAAAUAGUUUUAAAUACUUUUUCGCAAAUUGUGCACUUCUGGCACCAGUUUUAAAAAGAAAAUGAAAAAUAAUAAUGUCAAAAUGAAAAACAACGAUAUCUUCAUAUUUCACGAAGGUGGCCCUUUUCCUUUAAGAUAGGGCGUGCUAAAACUUUUAGUCUCAUUACUCCUCUGUGCAUCUAAAUUCUAAAGUACUAUAAUGUGCAUCUCAAGUGUUUGGUGCUGUACUGUUAUUAUUUAUGGUUAAUCCAGUGCUGUACUGUUAUUAUUUAUGGUUAAUCCAGUUUUUAUUCGAUUGAAUCGUUGUGUGUAGUGCAUGACAUCCGCGUACCGCCUGUAGCAGUGUUAUAUAUUUUCAUUUAUGCUGGAAAAUAAUAACUUUCUUGUUCAUUG